GAGUUCCCUAAAGGGCCGUCGAAGACUACGACGUUGAUAGGUGGGGUGUGUAAGCGCUGUGAGGCGUUGAGCUAACCCAUACUAAUUGCCCGUGAGGCUUGACCAUA
rnacentral:rRNA from 1 species